rnacentral:rRNA from 1 species
UUGAGCGGAGAUAUAUGGAGCUUGCUUUAUAUAACUUAGCAGCGAACGGGUGAGUAACACGUAGAUAAUCUAUCCUAUACUGGGGGAUAGCCCGAUGAAAGUUGGAUUAAUACCGCAUAUAGCUAUAUAGUUGCAUGAUUAUGUAGUGAAAGAUUUAUUGGUAUAGGAGGAGUCUGCGGCACAUUAGCUAGUAGGUGAGGUAAAGGCUUACCUAGGCGACGAUGUGUAGCCGGUCUGAGAGGAUGAACGGCCACAAUGGAACUGAGACACGGUCCAUACUCCUACGGGAGGCAGCAGUGGGGAAUAUUGCACAAUGGGGGAAACCCUGAUGCAGCAACGCCGCGUGAGUGAAGAAGGUUUUCGGAUUGUAAAGCUCUGUUAGCAGGGAAGAGGAAGGACGGUACCUGCAGAGGAAGCCACGGCUAACUACGUGCCAGCAGCCGCGGUAAUACGUAGGUGGCAAGCGUUGUUCGGAAUAACUGGGCGUAAAGGAUGCGUAGGCGGUUAAACAAGUUAUAUGUUAAAUAUAUAGGCUUAACCUGUAGAAAGCAUAUAAAACUGUUUAACUAGAGUGCAGGAGAGGUAAGUGGAAUUCCUAGUGUAGCGGUGAAAUGCGUAGAGAUUAGGAAGAACACCAGUGGCGAAGGCGACUUACUGGACUGUAACUGACGCUGAGGCAUGAGAGCAUGGGGAGCAAACAGGAUUAGAUACCCUGGUAGUCCAUGCUGUAAACGAUGGGUACUAGGUGUGGGUUGUGAAUAACAAUUCGUGCCGU